GUUUGGGGCAAUGAGAAAUUUCCUGUGGCUGCUCACUUCUGGUAGAAUUGCUUGACAUCUCUUGGAUGAGGCUGGACCAUUUUCUCUGUCUUCAUAUAGUCUUCUCCUGUGGCUUUAUUCAAGUUGGACAGAAGGCGGCAAGAGCCCUGAAAGCAAAGCAUGGAACCAAUUAUAGAGUUGGAUCGGGUGCAGAUAUUUUAUGCACAAGGAAGAGCAAGGACCCAAUAAAAGGCAGUUUCCAUAGGAGCUGUUUACCAAGGACGGAGUGGUCCUAAUCAGGGACAGCUCCUGCAUUUUACAGGGAAGCCUUUAUUUGAUGGCAAUGGAACCCCACCUUUCAAAGUCUGAUUUCUACACUUAUCUUCCCGUUUUCAUUUAUAGAUGCUGUCAGGAUCCUCAAAAGACUGGAAUGGAGGCAUUGGGAUCCCCUUCUCUUCUCAUACACAUUUGAGCUGGUGGACAAUGGUACCCAUGGGUUUGCUCUGAUCUAGUGCAUAUAUGAGGAGACAGGGAAACCAUUUUCUUACCCCUUGAUGAUGUGUAUGAGAAUUACUGGCCCAAAGGGGGCACUCACUAUCUCGGCAGCAGCCAUGCUUUACUUCUUCACAUGUCUCCUUUAAGUAUGUCCUACUCUGGCCUGCUUAGCCCCAGUGAUGGGGAUGUGGUUGGGGUGAAGGUGUGU
rnacentral:lncRNA from 1 species